GACAAGGCUUUGGUAGAGGAGGUUGUUGUGUUAGUAUUGCCAUGGGUAGUGUUAUGAGCCUGGUGAUAGUGUGACAAGGCUUUGGUAGAGGAGGUUGUUGUGUUAGUAUUGCCAUGGGUAGUGUUAUGAGCCUGGUGAUAGUGUGACAAGGCUUUGGUAGAGGAGGUUGUUGUGUUAGUAUUGCCAUGGGUAGUGUUAUGAGCCUGGUGAUAGUGUGACAAGGCUUUGGUAGAGGAGGUUGUUGUGUUAGUAUUGCCAUGGGUAGUGUUAUGAGCCUGGUGAUAGUGUGACAAGGCUUUGGUAGAGGAGGUUGUUGUGUUAGUAUUGCCAUGGGUAGUGUUAUGAGCCUGGUGAUAGUGUGACAAGGCUUUGGUAGAGGAGGUUGUUGUGUUAGUAUUGCCAUGGGUAGUGUUAUGAGC